AGGAGUAAUAUUUAUUGCAUCUGAAAGUAAGGAAUUGGUAUAGAAGCUUCCAAAUGAUUUGGUGCCGUUUCUAUCCAUCUUGAUGGAGGAAAAUCAAGAAGGAUUAUCAUUAUUAUAUCAUGAGUCAUCAGCUUACUGGAUCCAAUCCCUCGUAAAGGACGAAUCUUUAUCAUGCUGGAUUAUGCAUAUAUAUCUUUAAGCCAAAACUAAUCAUCAGAUUAU
rnacentral:lncRNA from 1 species